UACAGAGGGUGCGAGCGUUGUCCGGAAUCACUGGGCGUAAAGGGCGCGUAGGUGGCGACCCAAGUCGAUGGUGAAAGCUCGCCGCUCAACGGCGAGUCGGCCACCGAUACUGGGUUGCUGGAGCACUGUAGAGGCUCAUGGAAUUCCGGGUGUAGCGGUGGAAUGCGCAGAUAUCGGGAGGAACACCGGUGGCGAAGGCGGUUCUCUGGGCCUUACCUGACGCUGAGGAGCGAAAGCGUGGGGAGCGAACAGG
rnacentral:rRNA from 1 species